rnacentral:rRNA from 1 species
GGUUAAGCGACUAAGCGUACACGGUGGAUGCCCUGGCAGUCAGAGGCGAUGAAGGACGUGCUAAUCUGCGAAAAGCGCCGGCGAGGUGAUAUGAACCCUUGACCCGGCGAUGUCCGAAUGGGGAAACCCAGUGCAAUCCGUUGCACUAUCGUUAACUGAAUACAUAGGUUAACGAGGCGAACCGGGGGAACUGAAACAUCUAAGUACCCCGAGGAAAAGAAAUCAACCGAGAUUCCCCCAGUAGCGGCGAGCGAACGGGGAGCAGCCCGGAGUCUGAAUCAGCUUGUGUGUUAGUGGAACGGUCUGGAAAGUCCGACGGUACAGGGUGAUAGUCCCGUACACGAAAGCACACUUGCUGUGAACUCGAAGAGUAGGGCGGGACACGUGGUAUCCUGUCUGAAUAUGGGGGGACCAUCCUCCAAGGCUAAAUACUCCUGACUGACCGAUAGUGAACCAGUACCGUGAGGGAAAGGCGAAAAGAACCCCGGCGAGGGGAGUGAAAAAGAACCUGAAACCGUGUACGUACAAGCAGUGGGAGCCUCUUUAUGGGGUGACUGCGUACCUUUUGUAUAAUGGGUCAGCGACUUAUAUUCUGUAGCAAGGUUAACCGUAUAGGGGAGCC